UACGUAGGGGGCUAGCGUUGUCCGGAUUUAUUGGGCGUAAAGAGCGUGUAGGCGGCCAGAUAGGUCUGCUGUGAAAACUCGAGGCUCAACCUCGAGACGCCGAUGGAAACCAUCUGGCUAGAGUCCGGAAGAGGAGAGUGGAAUUCCCGGUGUAGCGGUGAAAUGCGCAGAUAUCGGGAAGAACACCCGUGGCUAAGGCGGCUCUCUAGUACGGUACUGACGCUGAGACGCGAAAGCGUGGGGAGCGAACAGG
rnacentral:rRNA from 1 species